CAAAUAAGAAGAGAAGACAAGAGGAAAGCCCUAAUCUCCCACCUAAUGGCCUCCGCCAACGAGCAGCGAUCCCAGGCCGAGCUCCUCUUCAACCUCUACAAGCAGACCGAUCCUGACUCGCUCUCACUCAAACCCGCGACGACACCUAUCUCUGGCCGCGUCUCUCUCCGAACACUCAGUCCACUGUCAAGAUCUCUCUCUGUCUCUCGCUUCAUAAAUCGGAGUUGUGCAGUCAGUAACCAAAUCCAAAUUCUUUCCAGAUUUGGUCUCCAAGAAUUUCAGGUUCUGUGAUUGAUUGCUUUUCGUAGUAAGGAGAGUUCUAUCAAGGCCAAGAAAGGCACAAGACGAGACUACAUAUUGGCCAAUUAGUGAAGGAUACUUCAGAGAAACGAGAUCACCAUACUGAAGUUAAUCUUCUAUUCAGUUGGUUCACUAAAAGAGUGUUGGAAAUACAAAGCUGUUAAUAUACAGAUAUCAACACCAGAUAUUGUUGAAUGCUUCUUUAACAGUAGCCUUGGCACGUACUAAAUGAUUAACAAGCUCAAGUAUAUUUUUAGUUCCUUGAAUUGGAGCUAUCACAAGAAGAAAUAUGCCAAAGUCCCGCUGCAACGCGCGGGCAUCUUUCUAAUAAUUAGCUAGUCAAAUAAUGGGAUGAAUCUAGUUCAUAAUGACCAACAACUCGGCCAUUCUUCAACUUUUCAACACUACUCGCCAAACUUUAUAUUUCAUGACUUCAUGAGCAUUAUAGUUAUUCGGUAAAUUACGAAGUUGCAAAACUUUACCUUAGU